UACGUAGGGUGCGAGCGUUAAUCGGAAUUACUGGGCGUAAAGCGUGCGCAGGCGGUUGUGUAAGACAGGUGUGAAAUCCCCGGGCUUAACCUGGGAACUGCAUUUGUGACUGCAUCGCUGGAGUGCGGCAGAGGGGGAUGGAAUUCCGCGUGUAGCAGUGAAAUGCGUAGAUAUGCGGAGGAACACCGAUGGCGAAGGCAAUCCCCUGGGCCUGCACUGACGCUCAUGCACGAAAGCGUGGGGAGCAAACAGG
rnacentral:rRNA from 1 species